UGGAAAUUCUGUUCUCCUUUAUCGUCUUUUUUACUGUACAGUGUGCAGGUUGAAGCCCACAAAUCUGACUUUGAUCAUUUUUAUAAUUUAAUUAUAGCUAACUUUUUCACACUCUUACGUAAAGGGGUACCCCAGACAAUGGCAGUCUUUGGACUGAAGGUUUGUUACAGUGACUUUGUUUACAAACUGCUUUUCUAUCUCCACAGACAUGGCAGGGGUGUCUCUUUUGGAAGCAUCUGCUUUCUGAGCAUUUUCCAUGCUAUCAACAUCAGUCCACUACUGCCAGGAGGACACAGGUUAAAGAAAAAUACCAUAGGUACAUAGUCUUACCUAUACCUGAUCUGGGUCUUCUACUUCAUUAUAAAUAUUUUCUGUUAUAAACAUGAUUGGGAAACAAGGCAAUAGAAAUAUAAUAAGCCUAAAA
rnacentral:lncRNA from 1 species